AGAGUUUGAUCCUGGCUCAGGACGAACGCUGGCGGCGUGCUUAACACAUGCAAGUCAAGGGGGCCCAGCAAUGGGCAACCGGCGAACGGGUGCGUAACACGUGAGCAACCUACCGAAAUGUGGGGGAUAGCCGGCCUAACGGCCGAGUAAUACCGCAUACGCUCUCGAUGAGGCAUUUCAUUGAGAGGAAACCUACGGGACAUUUCGAGGGGCUCGCGGCCUAUCAGCUAGUUGGAGAGGUAACGGCUCACCAAGGCAACGACGGGUAGCUGGUCUGAGAGGAUGGCCAGCCACAUUGGGACUGAGAUACGGCCCAGACUCCUACGGGAGGCAGCAGUGGGGAAUCUUGCGCAAUGGCCUAACGGCUGACGCAGCGACGCCGCGUGUGGGAUGAAGCUCUUCGGAGUGUAAACCACUGUUGCCCGGGACGAAUAGCUCGAUUAAUCGAGCCUGACGGUACCGGGUGAGGAAGCACCGGCUAACUCCGUGCCAGCAGCCGCGGUAAUACGGGGGGUGCGAGCGUUGUCCGGAAUCACUGGGCGUAAAGGGCGCGUAGGUGGUUUGAUAAGGGUGUGGUGAAAGCCCGGAGCUCAACUCCGGGUCUGCCGUGCCGACUGUCAAACUCGAGGACUGUAGAGGCAGACGGAAUUCCGGGUGUAGCGGUGGAAUGCGUAGAGAUCCGGAGGAAGACCGGUGGCGAAGGCGGUCUGCUGGGCAGUUUCUGACACUGAGGCGCGACAGCGUGGGGAGCAAACAGGAUUAGAUACCCCGGUAGUCC
rnacentral:rRNA from 1 species